UACAGAGGGGGCAAGCGUUAUUCGGAAUUAUUGGGCGUAAAGGGCGCGUAGGCGGCCUGGCAAGUGGAAGGUGAAAUCCCUCGGCUUAACCGAGGAACUGCCCUCCAAACUGCUUGGCUUGAGUCCGGGAGAGGUGAGUGGAAUUCCCAGUGUAGCGGUGAAAUGCGUAGAUAUUCGGAAGAACACCAGUGGCGAAGGCGGCUCACUGGCCCGGUACUGACGCUGAUGUGCGAAAGCGUGGGGAGCAAACAGG
rnacentral:rRNA from 1 species